rnacentral:rRNA from 2 species
UGGGGAAUAUUGCACAAUGGGCGCAAGCCUGAUGCAGCGACGCCGCGUGAGGGAUGACGGCCUUCGGGUUGUAAACCUCUUUCACCUACGACGAAGCGGAAGUGACGGUAGUAGGAGAAGAAGGACCGGCCAACUACGUGCCAGCAGCCGCGGUAAUACGGAGGGUCCGAGCGUUGUCCGGAAUUACUGGGCGUAAAGAGCUCGUAGGUGGUUUGUCGCGUUGUUCGUGAAAACUCACAGCUUAACUGUGGGCGUGCGGGCGAUACGGGCAGACUGGAGUACUGCAGGGGAGACUGGAAUUCCUGGUGUAGCGGUGGAAUGCGCAGAUAUCAGGAGGAACACCGGUGGCGAAGGCGGGUCUCUGGGCAGUAACUGACGCUGAGGAGCGAAAGCGUGGGGAGCGAACAGG